CAGGGUUGCCUAAUGGUACCUUCCCAUGGAGAAAAAUGAUUUUGUCCCGCGCGGACUCCCGCAGCACUUUUUUCACUCUAAAGCCGGAGAACGAAAUUUUCAUCUUACUCGGUGCUGAAAAGAAAGAGCGCGUGCACAAGCUGGGGAGGGGCAGAGAGAGAGG